CCUACGGGUGGCAGCAGUGAGGAAUAUUGGUCAAUGGGCGGAAGCCUGAACCAGCCAAGUAGCGUGCAGGAUGACGGCCCUACGGGUUGUAAACUUCUUUUAUCCGAGAAUAACGCGCCUUACGUGUAGGGCUUUGCAUGUACCGUAUGAAUAAGGACCGGCUAAUUCCGUGCCAGCAGCCGCGGUAAUACGGAAGGUCCGGGCGUUAUCCGGCUUUAUUGGGUUUAAAGGGGGCGUAGGCCGCAUGUUAAGUGUGCGGGGAAAUGUCCGGGCCUAACCCCGUCCGUGCAGUGGAAACUGGCGUGCUUGAGUCGGCGGAAAGCAGGCGGAAUGCGUGGUGUAGCGGUGAAAUGCUUAGAUAUGACGCAGAACCCCGAUUGCGAAGGCAGCUUGCUGGAGCGGAACUGACGCUGAUGCACGAAAGCGUGGGUAUCGAACAGGAUUAGAUACCCGGGUAGUC
rnacentral:rRNA from 1 species